CUAACUUCUGUGCCCCAGCAUAACCUCCAAAGUAACAGCCGUGCCCUGGGAGCCUGUUCAACACUGAACAUAUCCCACAAUAACACAGUUCCAGCGUCGCUGGUAAAAAGCAGAAAUGGCUUCGACCUGAGAAGAUAAAAUUGAGGCCCAUCUUACAGGUGCAACAGAAUCUGAAGAAGGGCUCAGAAGUGACAGAUUCAAGGGGAGAAGGCAACAAAUCAAGACUCUAACCAGCUUAGGCAAAAGGAAGAACUUAUAUAAAGUAUACGGGGACGAGUUGAACAACCUACUCUACAGAUAAGAAUCCAGCUAGCCUAGGGACCAGCAAUAUUAGAUCCUCUGCUUGCUUCUUUUUUCUGUAGACCAACUUUUCCAAGGGAACACAGCUGCCUAGCACACCCAAGGUUUUCACUUUAUGGCUUCAAGAAUGAGAGACCAACUUGCUUUCUAUAUUUUUUCCUAUCCAAGACCCAAAUUCCUGGGGAUGGGACUCACUGGCUCUGAUAAGCUGGAGGCAUCAAUAAAUCUAAUGCAGUGA
rnacentral:lncRNA from 1 species